GUUAUAACACAACAUUGCCUGGUAGAGAUCCUGUUAACUUGGUUAAUAAUAUCCUUUUUUCUUUUUGACCAUAUAUUGGGUGCCAGAUAUUAUUUAAUUAUGACAGUAACUCUAUGAGGUAGGCUGUCACAUUCCUCACAACUAAAACACUCAGGGUCACUCCAGGUGAACUGGGCUGUGCGAAAUAAUCACACAAGAGACAGAGAUAUCUUUUUCUUUGGGUCCUGUGACAGCUCCUCUGACCUUAAGGGUCCACAGAAAGAGAGAGCACAUGCUGAACCCUUUUAUUGAGGAGAAACCAUUCAAAUGAGGCAAGGGGUCAGGUUUCAGGGGGCUGAGUCUAGCUUCAUGAUGUCUGCUGUCAGCAGGUUGACUGACAUCUAGGAAGGCCACACCCAAAGCCAGAGCAAGAGAAGGGGACACACAUAGGGCAUUUCCAUGAAACAUUCUAUCCCAAACAGGGCAAAGGGGUGGUAUUACAAAGGGAUAGGUGAGUAUAGCUGAACCCCAGGGUGACAUGACUACAUCUGAAGACACGCCCUCA
rnacentral:lncRNA from 1 species